AAGAAAUCUGAGCCAAAACCUAAAUUCAUAACCUUUGCUGUCGGAUUAUUGUAUAAGGCUUUAACCACUGAGAGAAAUACAGGUGGAAAUCCGUAUACAGUCAGGGUUUCCUGGAGAAAAAGCCAAUUCAAACGAUCGAAAGCCUUCUCUGCAUCUAGAGAUAACAUAAUGCUUUCUAAUUUAGAUGAUUUUAGAAUCGAAUAAAUAUCUAAG